GAUGAACGCUGGCGGCGUGCCUAAUACAUGCAAGUCGAGCGAACGGACGAGAAGCUUGCUUCUCUGAUGUUAGCGGCGGACGGGUGAGUAACACGUGGAUAACCUACCUAUAAGACUGGGAUAACUUCGGGAAACCGUAGCUAAUACCGGAUAAUAUUUUGAACCGCAUGGUUCAAAAGUGAAAGACGGUCUAGCUGUCACUUAUAGAUGGAUCCGCGCUGCAUUAGCUAGUUGGUAAGGUAACGGCUUACCAAGGCAACGAUGCAUAGCCGACCUGAGAGGGUGAUCGGCCACACUGGAACUGAGACACGGUCCAGACUCCUACGGGAGGCAGCAGUAGGGAAUCUUCCGCAAUGGGCGAAAGCCUGACGGAGCAACGCCGCGUGAGUGAUGAAGGUCUUCGGAUCGUAAAACUCUGUUAUUAGGGAAGAACAUAUGUGUAAGUAACUGUGCACAUCUUGACGGUACCUAAUCAGAAAGCCACGGCUAACUACGUG
rnacentral:rRNA from 1 species